AGAGGCCUACUUCAAGUCUAGUUUCUCAACUGUCAUCCGGCAAGUGUUGCUCACAACUAGGAAAUUCAUGCCUCUGCAGAACAGUCUCCAGUACCUUGGCAGGACCCUAGCAACAAUGAUUUAAUCUUGGAACCCAAGUCAGUAUAAUUCUGUCCGGUGAAAGCACUACAAGUCUCAGCAAGGCAACAGGGCUCGCAAGGGGUUACGCUGCACUCUCACACCAAGGCUAGCUUAUGUGUAAUACCAUUUGCACCAGCUCAGUAAAGACAGUUAUCCUUGGUGUGUUCAUUUACUCCCCCUGUCUGGCCCAAAGAAGCUGCUUCAAACCUCGGACCAUGUUUAGGAUAACGGUGCCCUGGCGUCACUAAGUGAUCAGGUACUCUUGCUAAUACCCCGUGGCCACCACAAAUAAACAAGACAAAGCAAUAUGCAGCAGGGUAGAUGGGAUCCAGGAAGAAAUCCGACCCUUAUUUGUGGGGUCAGGAAGGAUUUUUAUUCAAGUAUACAAGUGAGUCUUGGCUACAACUUUGAUGAAUAUGGGAGCUUCCUUUGGUCAUAAAAAUCACUGUUCGGUUUACAAAGAAAGACAUGAAAAAAGAAAAAUACAACAUUAAUCAGCAUUACAGUAACAAACUGCAAAAAAUGGAAAAAAAAUGCAGAUCAGCUCACCACUCUAGUGUGAAAAUAUGUCAAUGUCCAUGGCAUCUAUGAGGAUGGAAGCACGGAGGAUCAAAAGGCCGUAUCCCA